UUAAAAAAAUCAGAGACAUUUAUCUCUUCCUUAGUCUCUUUUCCUCUUCCUUCUUCUGUAUUUCUUCUGAAUCUCAUCGAUUUGAUUCAAGACAUGCAUGUCUCUUCCUGAUUCUCUCCCUUCGUCUUCUUUUUAUUCUCCUGUGACCCACGAAGAAACCGAGUUUCACGCUUACCAUGGAAUCUUUCCGAGUACGAUUACCACCAUGGGAGCGUGUUUGCAUAUGAGAACGUGAGGGAUAGUUCGACUUCCGGAGACACUUGGUCUUGCGUUGUUGUCGUCGCUACCUUCUAUAACCUUUGUUUUUAGCCAGAUCCGAUUUGAAGAAGGUGCAAAAAAGUUUAAAUGAUUUGAUCGCUUUGGUUGAUGAAGUCUGUCCUGCUAAUUUCUUGGGGUGAGGAGUAAAGAUUAGAGUUAUUGGAUGAGUCUUAUAUGGUCCUCGGCGUGAUCCAAGUAAGCUUCUAAUUUCUUGAGAAGAAAUGUGAAAAACUGCACUAUGUGGAAUAUAAUUAUUGAUAUUGGUAGAAC